ACGAACGCUGGCGGCGUGCCUAAUGCAUGCAAGUCGAACGAACUCUGGUAUUGAUUGGUGCUUGCAUCAUGAUUUACAUUUGAGUGAGUGGCGAACUGGUGAGUAACACGUGGGAAACCUGCCCAGAAGCGGGGGAUAACACCUGGAAACAGAUGCUAAUACCGCAUAACAACUUGGACCGCAUGGUCCGAGUUUGAAAGAUGGCUUCGGCUAUCACUUUUGGAUGGUCCCGCGGCGUAUUAGCUAGAUGGUGGGGUAACGGCUCACCAUGGCAAUGAUACGUAGCCGACCUGAGAGGGUAAUCGGCCACAUUGGGACUGAGACACGGCCCAAACUCCUACGGGAGGCAGCAGUAGGGAAUCUUCCACAAUGGACGAAAGUCUGAUGGAGCAACGCCGCGUGAGUGAAGAAGGGUUUCGGCUCGUAAAACUCUGUUGUUAAAGAAGAACAUAUCUGAGAGUAACUGUUCAGGUAUUGACGGUAUUUAACCAGAAAGCCACGGCUAACUACGUGCCAGCAGCCGCGGUAAUACGUAGGUGGCAAGCGUUGUCCGGAUUUAUUGGGCGUAAAGCGAGCGCAGGCGGUUUUUUAAGUCUGAUGUGAAAGCCUUCGGCUCAACCGAAGAAGUGCAUCGGAAACUGGGAAACUUGAGUGCAGAAGAGGACAGUGGAACUCCAUGUGUAGCGGUGAAAUGCGUAGAUAUAUGGAAGAACACCAGUGGCGAAGGCGGCUGUCUGGUCUGUAACUGACGCUGAGGCUCGAAAGUAUGGGUAGCAAACAGGAUUAGAUACCCUGGUAGUCCAUACCGUAAACGAUGAAUGCUAAGUGUUGGAGGGUUUCCGCCCUUCAGUGCUGCAGCUAACGCAUUAAGCAUUCCGCCUGGGGAGUACGGCCGCAAGGCUGAAACUCAAAGGAAUUGACGGGGGCCCGCACAAGCGGUGGAGCAUGUGGUUUAAUUCGAAGCUACGCGAAGAACCUUACCAGGUCUUGACAUACUAUGCAAAUCUAAGAGAUUAGACGUUCCCUUCGGGGACAUGGAUACAGGUGGUGCAUGGUUGUCGUCAGCUCGUGUCGUGAGAUGUUGGGUUAAGUCCCGCAACGAGCGCAACCCUUAUUAUCAGUUGCCAGCAUUAAGUUGGGCACUCUGGUGAGACUGCCGGUGACAAACCGGAGGAAGGUGGGGAUGACGUCAAAUCAUCAUGCCCCUUAUGACCUGGGCUACACACGUGCUACAAUGGAUGGUACAACGAGUUGCGAACUCGCGAGAGUAAGCUAAUCUCUUAAAGCCAUUCUCAGUUCGGAUUGUAGGCUGCAACUCGCCUACAUGAAGUCGGAAUCGCUAGUAAUCGCGGAUCAGCAUGCCGCGGUGAAUACGUUCCCGGGCCUUGUACACACCGCCCGUCACACCAUGAGAGUUUGUAACACCCAAAGUCGGUGGGGUAACCUUUUAGGAACCAGCCGCCUAAGGUGGGACAGAUGAUUAGGGUG
rnacentral:rRNA from 1 species